rnacentral:lncRNA from 1 species
GAGGGGAGGAGGAGGGAGCUCGGAUCGGAUCGGAUCGGCUCAGCUCGGAUCGGCUCGGCUGCCAGGAACCUGCCUGGGCAAGACGACGGAGCAAAAAAAAUUACAGCCGGGAAUAAACAAACAGCAGAACACCUUCCCCGGCCGAGCUCAAAGCGGGAGCGCUGUGUCGUACAGCGCGCGCACCGAGACGAGGGCGUCGUCACUCGCGCGCGGAGGGCGUUCCACGCCGCCGUUUGGCUCCUUUUCCCCGUGUUUGUCGCGCAGGGAGGCGGCGGAGCGCGCGGCCGCCAUCUUUGGGGACUCGCCUAUGAGGGGAAAGGAGCAGUCGGGCCACACUUAGCCGCGGGUUGCAGUUCCCGCACACGUCGGACGGCAAGAGAAGCUCGGGCUGACAGCGCACGGUCGGGACACGGGAGGACCGGCAGAGAGGAGGGGAAAGCGCGGAUCCGAAGAGGAGUCAGUGCCCCUACGUGUCUACCGCUCCAGCUCCCGUUGCCACGCCGGGCCUGGAGGAAGUGCUAAUUUCUGGAUGUCAGCUAAGCAUGAAUGGACAGAAUCGACACUGUGAUCACACAACGGAGGAAUUCCAGCACUCCUCUUCUGUCACCCUGUCCUGCUGCAUUCCUGCUUCUCCUGCUGGAACCAUAACCUCGCCCCUCUGGCCAUGUCCCCACACCCAACCGACUGGGGUGGACAAGGCUUCACUCCUGCUGGGAUGCAAGCUGUCACAGCAUGGUUUUGUGAUAGAAGAACUUGGAAGGUUGUAGGUUUAGAUCCUAAGACAAGGGGUCCUACUGCUUGAGUGUGUAAAGCAGGGAACUGCUGAUGUACUUGAACUGAUUCAGCAGUAAAUCCUGCCAUAUAAAUGGUUAUAGAGGGGCAGCGGUUUGCUUAGCAGACAUGGACUUUUAAACAGAAGGUUACAGGUUCAUGCCAGAUUCCAUGUCCCCCAUUCCUGUCUGCUGUUGUGUGCCUGAGAACUGUGCCAAUAAAAAUACCAACUUCUGACA